rnacentral:rRNA from 1 species
AUUGAACGCUGGCGGAAUGCUUUACACAUGCAAGUCGAGCGGCAGCACGGGGGCAACCCUGGUGGCGAGCGGCGAACGGGUGAGUAAUACAUCGGAACAUGCCCAGUCGUGGGGGAUAACACUUCGAAAGAAGUGCUAAUACCGCAUACGUCCUGAGGGAGAAAGCGGGGGAUCUUCGGACCUCGCGCGAUUGGAGUGGCCGAUGUCAGAUUAGCUAGUUGGUGGGGUAAAGGCCUACCAAGGCAACGAUCUGUAGCUGGUCUGAGAGGAUGAUCAGCCACACUGGGACUGAGACGCGGCCCAGACUCCUACGGGAGGCAGCAGUGGGGAAUUUUGGACAAUGGGGGCAACCCUGAUCCAGCCAUUCCGCGUGAGUGAAGAAGGCCUUCGGGUUGUAAAGCUCUUUCGGCAGGAACGAAACGGCGAGCUCUAACAUAGCUUGCUAAUGACGGUACCUGAAGAAGGAGCACCGGCUAACUACGUGCCAGCCGCCGCAGUAACAC